UGUGUGUGUGUGUGGUAUAAUGGAGUCCAUUAGUGGAAGAGGUGGAGAGAAAUAGUCAUCCUGGGGUCUUUUAGAGCACCUUUCUGGCAACUGGUCCAUAUCGCCACAUUUCUGAAUUAGGGUUGGUAUUAUUUCUGAGCAUAAUAAAAUUUAGAGACAUUAAAUCAUGGACUUGGGGAGUUAGAAAGACUUUGGAGAAAAAAAUUUUUGUUUUUCACGCAGACUUAAUUGGUCCCUUAAAGCACUGGCCCAUUCAUUUAUUGGCAGGGGGAACAGAAUCAAAAUAAAUGAGCUUCAACUGCAGCAAGGAGAGCUUUGGGCAAACCUGAACAAUGUCCCCCCAAGUAAGGUAGGUUCUCUGACAGGAGAAUCAGUUCUCCUGAAUGGUCCUCUUUAGUUCAGCGGUGUAAUGAAUAAGGACUCUUCCUGGAUGCUAGCAACACAAACUUGCUGGAGCUGCUUCAAUCCAAGUGGAGAAUUCACAGGAGCAGAGCUGGGAGCCACUGGCAGCCUGGAAUGAAAGCUCUGGGACUUCUGGGACUCCCCUUUGCUUCCUUGCUGCUUCCCUCUGACUGUCUGCUUAAUUCUCUUCCUUCUUUGUUCUGCUUUUUGUGGGCAGAACUCUGGAUUAAGGGCCUGGCUGCUGGGUAAGCCAGCAGCAAGACUCGUCUUUCUCUUGUUAUGCAAAUGAAAGUUUCCUAGGGAGUGUCCCCCGCUUUGUCCAGCUUGAAGUCACCCAGAGGUGGGCAGAGCGUGGGCACUGCAGUGUGGAGUUUCUUAGGGACAUUUUAGAAAUCUGGGGGGCAGUUUUGGUUACCAGUGAUUGAGGGGUGCUACUCCCAUUUAUUGGAUGGGGACCAGGGAUGCUGAUGUCUCUGAUGGGUAAAGAGUCUUAUUCUCCCACUGUGAGACUGUGACCAAAGCUGUUGCCCCAGAAUCAUACCCCUGUCCUUCCCUUGAAUAGAAACCAAUUCCUCUUAUCUAAGUUUCUGGAGGGGGCUGCAAAGAGAGUGAGAGAGAGCGAGAAAAAAAGAAUUGGUUAGAACCAAUAGGCUCAAGGUGAUGGAGGAUUUGACUUCCAGGAGACCUUAAGUCUCCUGGUGCUCUCAUUGUAAUACUUUAGCAUGCUAAAGGACAGACCCACUGGCGCCAUGACAGUUGACAGUUGCCAUGACAACAACCUCAAAAACCCAUUCUGGGAUGGAAAAGGAGCAUUGCCUCAGUUCCAGGUCCAUACCACACCCCUGUUCUCAGAUAAGUCAUAAGUAUUCCUCCCACUCUUUCCAAAUCUUUCCCUUUUAUCUGGUUCCUCCUAAUAUUUGGUGGCUCUGCCCUAAUUGGGUUGAGAAGUUAAUUUUCAAACUAGGUUCCUGCUUCUUUGUUCUUUGGCCAUUGAAUAAAGUUUGUGCUGUUCUAGUCUCAGCAUUAGUUUUAUUAUUGGCUGUGUGGAUCUAAUCUAAUUGGAAAAAGAACCUCCCCUGGCAGAGAUAAGGGGGCUUGGCCCUGGCUGGUACCCCAGGGCAGGUCCUGUUGACCAAUUCGGGAACAAGACAGUAGUGGAUGGCAGAACCUCUUUAUUACCUGAACGUAGAAUCCUAACUUACACAUAAAGAAUAUUUUGCAGAGUUCCUGUUAUGGCUCAGCAGGUUAAGGACCUGAUGUCAUCUUUGUCAGGAUUUGGGUUCAAUCUCUGGCCUGGCAUACUGGGUUAAGAAUCCGUUGUUUUUGCAAGCUCCAGUGCUGCUGCAAGCUGUGUCUAUGCAGCUUGGAUCGGUGUUGCCGUGGCUAUGUAGGUAGGCAGCUGUGGCUCGGAUUCGACCCAUAGCCUGGGAACUUCCAUAUGCCGCAGGUGUGGCCGUAAAAUGAAAAAAAAAAAUAUUUUGCAUGUUUCCAAUAAACCUUGACUUUUCCAGUCAGUGAAGAAAGAUUGUGCUUGGUUUUAUUGAGAAAGUUACCAAUUUUGGAAAAUUCACCCCCCCACACAUCCACUGCAUUACCACAUCACCUGUGUCAGUUCACAGUUGUAGCUCACCUGUUUUUUGGUUUUAUGUGCAAGUACAGGCAUGUAAUAACACCAUAAGCCUUCUAUAUUGUCUUGACCAACUAACUGAAUUUUGAAAUACAUGUUCAGUUCAUUAUAAAUUAUUUUGCUUUUAUUCUCAUUUAUAUUACUCUUAAGGCAAUAAAUAUAUGUGUUUGAAAUUGUGUUUAGGAAGGUUAGCUAAUAAUUUAUUCCAGGGAGUAAAAUGGUGUUAGAAGUUUGCUCUAAACUUUUGAGCUUUGGAGCUAAUAGGGUUUAGAACUCAACAUCAGGGGAAGUGAUUUACAAAGUAAUCCCCUACCGUCCAUGAAUCUACUGAAUUAAAUAAAUCUUAACACUAACCAUUAAAAACAAACAAACAAACAAACAAAAACUGUAGGAGUUCCCGUUGUGGCACAGAGGAAACGACUCCAACUAGGAACCAUGAGGUUGCGGGUUCGAUCCCUGGCCUCAAUCAGUGGGUUAAGCAUACGGCGUUGCCUUGAGCUGUGGUAUAGGUCACAGAUGCGGCUCAGAUGUGGCGUUGCUGUGGGUGUGGCGUAGGCCAGUGGCAAUAGCCCUGCUUAGACCCCUAGCCUGGGAACCUCCAUAUGCCGCGGGUGCGGCCCUAAAAAAGACAAAAAACAAAAAACUGUAGCCCAUGCAUUGGGUAGAGCUGACUGAGAAAUUAAGUAUAGAGAUGUUGGCCCCAUCCUGCUCCUUCCAUGGGUGUGGAUCCUCCCCCUUCCCUUGUAGGGUGGCUGGUUCUCCUGCUGGGUUCAGGCUCCCCUGUGGGUCUUAUUAUUCUGAAGAGGCCGUAAGAGUAGGGGAUGAUCUCAGAUUAUAGUAUGAGUUUCAGGUGAACUACUGCAGACCACUUUGCAGAAAUCCAAGGAGACCUGUGGGCUUGCAUGGGAAAAUAUGACACCUUGAUUUUCACUAACUUCUCACUAAAAUUGAGUGAUUCCCUAACAUCUGGACCUUGGCCACAAAUCAGAGUAGUAGAGCAUUGUCUGUGACUUUAUCACCAGUGAAAAUCUGAUAGUUUCCUCUAACAUUAUGGAUGGCUGACAGAUAAUCUUGAAAUGACCUACUCAUUUUGACUUAGAAAUGAUGGUGGUGAUUACACGUGCUGCUGGGUAGUGUUAUUUAAUGCAUUAAUAAAUAAGCACAUGUGUUAUUAUGUCACCAUUAAUAAGGUUGGGGUAACCCUAGUGAAAUAUAAUUGACUUUCUCUGUAAUCCUGUGCAUUUUAUUUUUAUGCAUUUAAAACAUUUUGGGAAGGGGUACCACCUCACCCAUCUGCCAAGGGGUGGGUGGUACAGAAAUUGUGGAGUGGAAAUGUGGAGCCUCCUGGACAUCACACACCCCACCACUGCCCUCUCUCUUCCAUUGACCUCCUCCUGACUCAGCCUUUCCUCAAGACUGCCAGGUAUGGGUGUGGAGGGGGUGCGGGCUUAUCUCCAGUUGGCUUAUUUUCUUCUUAGACCUGCUCUAAGAAGAAAUGGCACUUGAUUUGCCCUCGGUUCAUUCCUUUAUCAUGCAAGAGGAGACAAGUUUGUCAGAACACUCCUCUGGCAAGCAUGUAUCGAUCAGUACGUGAUGCAUUAAAAGCCGCACGUGCUGAUUAUCUGAAUCCUUAACAGAAGUGUGUUUUUUCUGGUUUAGUUUUUCAAGUGCAGAAAAAAAAGAAAAACAUAGACAUUUGGCAGGAAAAUUCCCUAUAGACAGCCCAGCUUCUGUUUUCCUCUUCGUUUGCUUCAAAGUGAUAGAAUCACCACACAGCUCUAAGAAGUACCCUAUUGCCCAAGAAACAGGUUGUGGAAAUGGCUGCCGGUGUAUUUUCCUAAUUUGUGGGGGAGGGGAAAUUUCCCAGAAAUUAGGGUUUGGGGUGAAAGUGGACAGGUCCACCAGGGCUUUGUCCUGGUUGUUACCUAGCCACCAGGGAGUCCCAUCCUCGAGGGUGCUGUGCCCCAGAUAUAACUGGGUUCCUGGGGAUGGUGUCAGCCUUUAUCCUGUUUCUGGAGACUUCUGUUGAGAGGAAAUGACUUUGCCACAGAACAGCCUACUGCACUGCUCCUUGCUGUCCUCCAGAUGUGGAGUCAUUGUUUUGUUGCCAUGUGCAUCUUUCCCCCCAGCAACUUCUAAGUCUAUAUUUAGAACAUGCUGAACAGUUGCUUUUGAAAUCUGUAGCAAUUGCGCCGGGGAGGGAUCGUCACACAUCCAACAUGAAUGCGGUGGGCCACCAUAUUGAAUAAUCAUGGGAAUUAUAUUUUUCAUUCUUUGUUUCAGAAGAUACUGUGCUGAAGAUUGGAAUAGGAUAGUUUCAAAUUUUGAGGCUUCAUUUUUCCUGGAUUUAGUUAUUGAUCAAAUUUCUCAUGAAGUCAGAGCCACUCCCUUAAAGAAGUAGGAGCCACUCCAUUCUAAGAUAUGGUUACUGCUCAUGUCUAAAGACUAAAGAGAACAUCUUUGUAUUUAACAAGCCUAUCAGUGAAGCGAUAGCAUCUCUGUCUCUCUGUCUCUUGUCUUUCUUCUUUGUAAAAAGGAACAGCAUAUCCCAUUGCUUCUUGGGCUGAUAACUGCUAGUACAGAUUCAUGUGCAAGAUUUUGGGUACCAUUUGACCUAAUUUUUUAAAUGAGUUGCCUCAGAACCUUGCAUCAAGAAACUGUCCUAUCAUUCGAUGGGCAAGGCCAGUCUUUUAGGUGAGAGAAAGUAAGAAAUCCACCAGAUUUAUUGGCCAAGGGGUGGGGCUUUCACUCCCUUUGAAGGAUCUCUUACCCCUCCCACCUCCCUGAUGGGCACCACAUUCACUUGGCCUACUUUUCAUAGAGGUUUGAUUUGGGGUGAAUUUUGAUCUUCAUCUUACCUUUAUGGAGAGAGUAAAUAAAGUCCAGAAGAUCUAGAGUAUAGGAGCUUAAAUAUCCAUAAGUGAUUUGUCUCCUGGUCAGGGAUGGCAGAAUUAAUUGUACGCUGCUGGACAUGGAUCUCAUUACCAUUUUAUAGAUUUUAUCACCAUGAAAAAUGGAAACUACAGAUCCUGUCUUCAAACCGACAGUCUAAAGGUGAAGACUUCACAUACAGAGCAAUGCUUUUUCCAGAAAGUGGACCUCUUGAGCAUAGCUGGUGUUCAGAGGAAUACUGGGCACUCCUGAGAACCAAGCCUUGAGCACCACUGUCUAAUUUCAUGCUUAUGACAACCCUGUAAAUUAGAACCCCUUACUUUCAUUGGACAGAUGUGAAACCAGUGUAUGGGGAAGCUAAGUGUCUUGCCUGCAAUGACACACAUAACCAUAAGGUGAUCAUAUAAUUUAUUAGCCAGACCUGAACACUUUUGAGACUGAAAGGAGGUGUAUUAAAUUGAUGAUAAAACUGGGAUAACAGCCAUAAAUGGGGAUGUAGUGUGCCCCUACUAAUCGGUGCAGAUUGAGGUUUUAAUUCUGGUCUCUGAUUCCUGAGCCUUCCUGCUCUCCAUUAGAUGCAUUAAAUUGGGCUGCCAUACCUACAGAUGAAUUGUUAAGGCACAUAUUGAAUAGACUUCUGCAGGUGAGUUCUGCAUUAGGUAGGGCACUGAAGAGAAAUUCCUCUUAGGCUAGGUAAAAGUUCCCCUUGGCAAGAAAAAGUUCUUUCGUAUAAAAAUGUAGAAAGGAUUUUGCUAAGGCAGAUGGUUUUUCUCUUUUUAAAAAAUGGCUUUUCAUCUUUUUUUUUUGCUUGUUUUAAAGAAUGAGUCUGCUGUAGCAGUUCCAAGAAAGGCAAAAGAAGACUCAUAAGCUCUCAUAUCCAGGGCAAACAUCUUCAUAGCCAGUGGCUAUUGCCAUACAGAGUAAUAUGAUGAAUUCUUCAAUAGUAAGGUGUGUAGAUGAAAUUUACUACACCUAUUGUUAGCACUUUGUCCAAGACUUAUUAUCAAGGCAGAUUUUCAUGGCAUAAUCAUUACUGUGAAAUGUUAAGAUAAAACCCCAGCACUUGAGGAGUUCCCUUUGCGGCUUAGCACAUUAAGAACCCAACAUAGCGACUGUGAGGAUGCGGGUUCCAUCCCUGGCCUCAUUCAGUGGGUUAAGGAUCCAGCAUUGCUACAAGCUGUAGCAUGGGUCACAGAUACAGCUCCAGUCCUUUGUUGCUAUGGCUGUGGUGUAGGUCACAGACUCAACUCAGAUCCUGCAUUGCUGUGGCUGUUGUGUAGGCUGGCAGCUGUGGCUCAGAUUCAACCCCUAGCCUGGGAACUUCCAUGUGCUGCAGGUGUAGCCCUAAAAAGAAAAGGAAAAAAAAAAAAAA
rnacentral:lncRNA from 1 species